UACGAAGGGGGCUAGCGUUGCUCGGAAUCACUGGGCGUAAAGCGCACGUAGGCGGGUCUUUAAGUCAGGGGUGAAAUCCUGGAGCUCAACUCCAGAACUGCCUUUGAUACUGUCGAGCUAGAGUGUGGAAGGGGCGAUUGGAAUUCCGUGUGUAGCGGUGAAAUGCGUAGAUAUACGGAGGAACACCAGAGGCGAAGGCGGAUCGCUGGGCCAACACUGACGCUGAGACGCGAAAGCUAGGGUAGCAAACGGG
rnacentral:rRNA from 1 species